UAACUGGACUAACUAACUGGACUAACUCUAGUCUAACUGGGCUAACUAAGUGGACUAACUCUGGUUUAACUGGACUAACUAACUGGACUAACUGUCUAACUGGACUAACUAAGUGGACUAACUCUGGCCUAACUGGACUAACUAACUGGACUAAAUCUAGUCUAACUGGACUAACUAAGUGGACUAACUAACUGGACUAACUGGUCUAAAUGGACUAAUUCUGAUCUAACUGGAAUAACUAACUGAUCUAACUGGACUAACUAACUGGACUAACUCUAGUCUAACUGGACUAACUGGUCUAACUGGACUAACUGGUCUAACUGGACUAACUCUGAUCUAACUGGACUAACUGGUCUAACUGGACUAACUCUAGUCUAACUGGACUAACUGGUCUAACUGGACUAACUCUGAUCUAACUGGACUAACUGGUCUAACUGGACUAA